rnacentral:rRNA from 1 species
AAUAAAAUUUAUUAAGGCACACCUCAGAUAUAGAUCUUUGAGCGGCCUAAGCUAAAAAAUGCAAUCAAAGUUUUAUCCCUAUAAAGCUUCAAAGGGUCUUUUUGUCCUUUAGUUAGAUGUAUUACUUAGACAGCAUAUUAUUUGUACUGAAAUGUGAUAUCCCA